CUCGUAGGUGGCCAACUAAGUCGGACGUGAAAUCCCUCGGCUUAACCGGGGAACUGCAUCCGAUACUGGAUGGCUCGAGUUCGGGAGAGGGAUGCGGAAUUCCAGGUGUAGCGGUGAAAUGCGUAGAUAUCUGGAGGAACACCGGUGGCGAAGGCGGCAUCCUGGACCGACACUGACGCUGAGGAGCGAAAGCCAGGGGAGCAAACG
rnacentral:rRNA from 1 species